ACGAACGUUGGCGGCGUGGAUUAGGCAUGCAAGUCGCACGAGCCUCGGCGGGGCAACCCGCCGGGGAAAGUGGCGGAAGGGGCAGUAAGGCGUGGGUAACCUGCCCCGGAGUUCGGAAUAGCCCCCCUAACGGGGGGGUAAUACCGAAUGCCCCGGGCGCCAGGCAUCUGGCGCCCGGGAAAGCUCCGGCGCUCCGGGAGGGGCUCACGUGGUAUCAGCUAGUUGGUGCGGUGACGGCGCACCAAGGCCGAGAUGCCUAGCGGGUGUGAGAGCACGACCCGCGCCACUGGCACUGGGACACUGGCCAGACUCCUACGGGAGGCUGCAGUCGAGGAUCUUCGGCAAUGGGCGCAAGCCUGACCGAGCGACGCCGCGUGGGCGAUGAAGGCCUUCGGGUUGUAAAGCCCUGUCGCGGGGGGGGAAAGCUGACCCCCCCGGGAGGAAGCACGGGCUAAGUUCGUGCCAGCAGCCGCGGUAAGACGAACCGCGCGAACGUUGUUCGGAAUCACUGGGCUUAAAGGGCGCGUAGGCGGGCCGGCCGGUCGGAGGUGAAAGCCCCCAGCUCAACUGGGGAAGCGCCCCCGAUACCGCCGGCCUGGAGGGGGGUAGGGGCGUGCGGAACUUCCGGUGGAGCGGUGAAAUGCGUAGAUAUCGGAAGGAACACCGGUGGCGAAGGCGGCACGCUGGGCCCGCCCUGACGCUGAGGCGCGAAAGCCAGGGGAGCGAACGGGAUUAGAUACCCCGGUAGUCCUGGCCCUAAACGAUGGGCACUAGGUAGCGGCCCCCCAUGGGGCCGCUGCCGGAGCGAAGGUGUUAAGUGCCCCGCCUGGGGAGUAUGGUCGCAAGGCUGAAACUCAAAGGAAUUGACGGGGGCUCACACAAGCGGUGGAGCAUGUGGCUUAAUUCGAGGCUACGCGAAGAACCUUUCCCGGGCUUGACAUGCGCGAGAGCGGAAGGGAGUAGCCCCCGGAAACGCGGGGCGAACGGUAACCAGCCCGGGGCCUUCCACAGGUGCUGCAUGGCUGCCGUCAGCUCGUGUCGUGAGAUGUCGGGUUAAGUCCCAUAACGAGCGAAACCCCUGUCUCCAGUUUGCCAGCGCGUCACGGCGGGGACUCUGGAGAGACUGCCGGCGUCAAGCCGGAGGAAGGUGGGGAUGACGUCAAGUCCUCAUGGCCUUCAUGCCCGGGGCUGCACACGUGCUACAAUGGCGCGCACAGAGGGAGGCGAACGCGCGAGCGGGAGCGAAUCCCAAAAAACGCGCCCCAGUUCAGAUCGGAGGCUGCAACCCGCCUCCGUGAAGUUGGAAUCGCUAGUAAUCGCGGGUCAGCAACACCGCGGUGAAUGUGUUCCUGAGCCUUGUACACACCGCCCGUCAAGCCACGAAAGGGAGGGGGGGGCCAAGUCGCCGCGCUAUCCCGCGAGGGGGGCAAGCGCCUAACCUCCAACUCCCGAUUGGGACU
rnacentral:rRNA from 1 species